UUGCAAAAUUGACUUCUUGAAUUACCAUUUUCAGUUGAUGGAUUGAGAAAUGUGUUCAGUUGAUUCUUGCUGAUUGCCAUGAGAGUGGUCUCUAUGGAGGCUGCGCAUACAGAACAAAACAAAAAAGUGUUAAACGAAACUUCUGAUAUCUUACAACAACAAAAAAUCUAGUUGAAUUUUGAGAGUUCAGAAACAUUUUCUUACAUUUUGGCAGCGUAAUAGAAAGCACCUGAAAAUCCAUUAUGUCAUGAUUCAUUUAAUUUGACCUCAAAGUCUUUGAACUCCUGCAGGACAGUUGUAGCCUUUGAACUUGGAUGCGUAUACAAAUUAGCUAUCAUUCUUGGGAAAUGUAAGCAACCUGAAAGCUCAAUCUUUAAACUUAGAAGGUAUACAAAGCUGAGAUUUUACUCCUGAACCUUACAAAGAAAGCUU
rnacentral:lncRNA from 1 species